GGCGAACGCUGGCGGCGUGCUUAACACAUGCAAGUCGAACGAUGACGGUGGUGCUUGCACCGCCUGAUUAGUGGCGAACGGGUGAGUAACACGUGAGUAACCUGCCCUCCACUUCGGGAUAACCUCGGGAAAUCGUGGCUAAUACCGGAUAUGAGCACUCAUCGCAUGGUGGGUGUUGGAAAGAUUUAUCGGUGGGGGAUGGACUCGCGGCCUAUCAGUUUGUUGGUGAGGUGAUGGCUCACCAAGACGAUGACGGGUAGCCGGCCUGAGAGGGCGACCGGCCACACUGGGACUGAGACACGGCCCAG
rnacentral:rRNA from 1 species